UUUUGUGAAAAGAUUGUUGAGGUUUUCAUGGAUGAAUUUUCUGUUUAUGGGAAGUCUUUUGAUGAUUGUUUAAGCAAUCUUGAUCGAGUUUUGCAGAGAUGUGAACAGACAAAUCUUGUCUUGAAUUGGGAGAAGUUCCACUUUAUGGUUAACGAAGGUAUUGUUUUGGGCCAUAAAAUUUCUAAAAGAGGUAUUGAGGUGGACAAAGCUAAGGUUGAUGCAAUUGAGAAAAUGCCAUGUCCUAAAGAUAUCAAAGGUAUUCGUAGUUUCCUUGGUCAUGCUGGUUUCUGUAGGAGAUUUAUCAAAGACUUUUCUAAAAUUUCUAGGCCUCUUACAAAUCUUUUGCAAAAGGAUAUUCCUUUUGUUUUUGAUGAUGAUUGUUUAGAAGCCUUCGAAACACUCAAGAAAGCCUUAAUUUAUGCACCUAUUGUUCAACCACCUGAUUGGAACUUGCCUUUUGAAAUUAUGUGUGAUGGUAGUGAUUAUGUUGUUGGUGCUGUUCUAGGACAAAGAGUUGAU
rnacentral:rRNA from 1 species